GUUUAGCCCAGAUAGGAAUGGAAAGCCCGGAGUGCCGCGCUCUACUUUUUUCUUGGCAGAAAAGAGCGACCAAAGGAAGCUCCUUUUAUGCCUAGAAAAACAGAGCGCGGUGCGAGGACUUGUAAUGUACAGCUGGAUUGGCU
rnacentral:misc_RNA from 1 species